rnacentral:rRNA from 1 species
UCAUCCCAUUUUUAUCAUUUGUCAAAUGCUGAGCAGGUUUGGACCUGGUCAGUACUUGGAUGGGAGAACAACUAGGAAAACUGGGUUUGGUGUGGC